CCCGGGGCGUGAGGGGAGCGGGUUGAGUUGUGGUGGCAUCGCCCGUGUCCCCGCGUUCUUCGUCUUGGAGCUGUGGGUUAGUUACAGCUCAAAGCUUUCUUUGUAGAUGUGGCCUUGUUCUGCUGUGUCUUUCCUCUGGCGAUGGAUGCUGUUGCUGAAGCUACAAUCAAGAGAGAGGUCUUAAUGAGGACGGUGAAAAUCUACAUCAAGGAAUAAACAUAUUCCUUGCCUUUUAAAGCUAGCCAAAAAGCAGGUUAUUUUUUUUUCCAUUAAUCUUUUUUUUUCCCCAAAGGAAUGCAUUAUGGGAUUUUUUAGCUGAUAAAAAUUUCUUUGUUUUACUUCUUUCUUAAGAAGUCCAUAAAUGGCAAACCCCUCAAACAGUCAUUUCAUUACAGUGUUCACCACUAAUCCAACUGUACCUAUUAUAGUUAGAAGGUAAUAUUUUAGUGAAAUUUUGUAUCCUCUAAAUAACCAUUGUAAAACCAAAAAAUGUUGACAAGCAGGCUGAUUUUGGAUAAGUGCAUAUCUUCCAACCAUCUCCCAAUGAGUUGUUACAUCUGCCACAGGCUAUGGCUCACAAUCUGAUCUGAAAAGGUUUUGAUGUUUCUUCAUGUCCAACGGGUGCAAUGAUAAUCAGUGGCAUUGGACCUGUGCAGAGACCAAGGCUGCCUCCUCUUGCUCCCUCUCAUCACACUCUGCAGCUUUUUUGCCUCACUUUAGUCCAUCUUUCAGGGUGCUUCAUGAGCUAGUGGGCCUGCGACCUAUUUACCCCUUUCUGCUGCCACCUUCAGAAGGACUCGGGGGUCAAUUCCCUUCUUGCUCCUUAACUGUCCUGAGGGUCUGAAUAGAUUAUUUGUGCAACAGAUUUAUUUUAUGAAUAUUUCCAUUCUACUACUGCUGUAUUAUCCAGUUCUGAACUUCAAAUUGAAGAUUUCAUAAUAUCCUAUUCCCAUGAGAGAUCUGUGUUGUUAUAUUCAAUUUUUGUCAAUAAAAAUACACAUUUGAAAUGAAAA